rnacentral:rRNA from 1 species
UUUUGAGAUUGUUUUGGUUUUUGUGUUUAGUGGGUGUCGUACCUUUUGCAUCAUGAUUCUUUGAGGGGAGGCUAGUUAUUUUAGUGUCUCGAAAAAUGGCGAUUUAGGUUUAUCUUGUUCUUUGAACUUAGAGGUUGGCGGGUAGCUGAGCUUUAGAGAUGGACUUGGGAGUGAUAAGUAAUACGCGCCAUUUUAUAGCUAGUUGCCAAGUGUUUUUUUGUUUUAGUCUUGUUGCUUGGAUGUGGCGAGUCAGUCAAGAGAGUUUUUGGGCAUAGUGUUGGAGAUGGGUUAGAGGUACCCCUUUCUAGUUUCGUGUUAUAACGAUGUUCUUUUGUUCAUUUUCUUUGUUGUAGCACUUGGCUUUUAAACUUUUUUUCAGAGUAUGAAGGAAUUAGUAGUUUGAAUGGCUUCUUUUUUUCUCAAAUUUCUCCGGUCUGUUUCUCAAAAACAUUUCCAUUAUUCUAUGAAGCUUUAAUGGUAGUGCCUGCUCGAUGUUUUAAUAAAUGGCCGCAGUAUUUUGACUGUGCUGAGGUAGCAUAAUUAGUUGCCUUAUAAUUGAAGGAUUGUUUGGAUGGUUUGACUAGGGGAAUUAUUUAGAUGGGGGCUGUUUUUGAAAUUAGGUGGCCGAUGCAGAUCUCGGUGUUUUUUAAUUAGACGGAAAGACCCCGAGAGCUUUAUAGUUUUUUGUUUACUUGGGGCAAGGGCAUAUUCUUCAUAUGCUUUCAGAUCCUCUGGGAAGAAGUUUUA